GACGAACGCUGGCGGCGUGCUUAACACAUGCAAGUCGAACGGAAAGGCCUGCUUUCCCUUGUGGAUUGCGGGUACUCGAGUGGCGAACGGGUGAGUAACACGUGAGUGAUCUGCCCCCAACUUGGGUAUAAGCCUGGGAAACUGGGUCUAAUUCCCGAUAGGACUGCAGGGUGGUGCCUGUGGUGGAAAACGAUUUUCUAGUGGUUGGGGAUGAGCUCGCGGCCUAUCAGCUUGUUGGUGGGGUAAUGGCCUACCAAGGCGGCGACGGUAGCCGGCCUGAGAGGGUGGACGGCCACAUUGGGACUGAGAUACGGCCCAGACUCCUACGGGAGGCAGCAGUGGGGAAUAUUGCACAAUGGGCGGAAGCCUGAUGCAGCGACGCCGCGUGGGGGAUGACGGCCUUCGGGUUGUAAACUCCUUUCGACCGCGAGGAAGCCACCUGGUUGGAAGGGUGGUGACGGUAGUGGUAGAAGAAGCACCGGCUAACUACGUG
rnacentral:rRNA from 1 species